rnacentral:rRNA from 1 species
CAGUCGCCGCGGUAAUACGGAGGGCGCGAGCGUUACCCGGAUUUACUGGGCGUAAAGGGCGUGUAGGCGGCCUGGGGCGUCCCAUGUGAAAGGCCACGGCUCAACCGUGGAGGAGCGUGGGAUACGCUCAGGCUAGAGGGUGGGAGAGGGUGGUGGAAUUCCCGGAGUAGCGGUGAAAUGCGCAGAUACCGGGAGGAACGCCGAUGGCGAAGGCAGCCACCUGGUCCACUUCUGACGCUGAGGCGCGAAAGCGUGGGGAGCAAACCGGAUUAGAUACCCGCGUAGUCCCUGUCUCUUAUAC